rfam:Acinetobacter brisouii CIP 110357 genomic scaffold adgTE-supercont2.2, whole genome shotgun sequence.
UAAAUUAAUUAUAUUAGUUUGUUGAUAUAUAUCAUUUUUUAUUUAUUUUUAAGCAUCUCGGAGUAAUCGAAUGGCUUUAACUAACCAAGACCGCGCAGAAAUCGUUGCUAAAUUUGCUCGUGCAGAA